rnacentral:rRNA from 1 species
AUUUUGGACAAUGGGCGAAAGCCUGAUCCAGCAAUGCCGCGUGCGUGCAGAAGGCCUGCGGGUUGUAAAGCACUUUCAGUGUGGAAGAAAAGCUCGGGGCUAAUACCUCCGGGCCUUGACGUUACCCACAGAACAAACACCGGCUACCUCCGUGCCGGCAGCCGCGGUAAAACGGAGGGUGCAAGCGUUAAUCGGAAUUACUGGGCGUAAAGCGAACGCAGGUGGCUAUGUAAGUCGGAUGUGAAAGCCCUGGGCUUAACCUGGGAACUGCAUUCGAAACUGCAUGGCUAGAGUAUGGGAGAGGGAAGUGGAAUUCCCGGUGUAGCGGUGAGAUGCGUAGAUAUCGGGAGGAACACCAGUGGCGAAGGCGGCUUCCUGGCCCAAUACUGACACUCAUGUGCGACAGAGUGGGGAGCAAACA